rnacentral:rRNA from 1 species
UACAGAGGGGGCAAGCGUUAUUCGGAAUUAUUGGGCGUAAAGGGCGCGUAGGCGGCCAACUAAGUCAGACGUGAAAUCCCUCGGCUUAACCGGGGAACUGCGUCUGAUACUGGAUGGCUUGAGGUUGGGAGAGGGAUGCGGAAUUCCAGGUGUAGCGGUGAAAUGCGUAGAUAUCUGGAGGAACACCGGUGGCGAAGGCGGCAUCCUGGACCAAUUCUGACGCUGAGGAGCGAAAGCCAGGGGAGCAAACGGG